GGGGGCGUAGCUCAGAUGGUAGAGCGCUCGCUUAGCAUGUGAGAGGUACCGGGAUCAAUACCCGGCGCCUCCA
rfam:Bombyx mori DNA, contig: Bm_scaf66_contig30178, strain: p50T/Dazao, build 2, whole genome shotgun sequence.